GAUGAACGCUAGCGGCGUGCUUAACACAUGCAAGUCGAACGAAGCAUUUAGGACAGAUUACUUCGGUUUGAAGUUCUUUAUGACUGAGUGGCGGACGGGUGAGUAACGCGUGGGUAACCUGCCUUGUACUGGGGGAUAGCAGCUGGAAACGGCUGGUAAUACCGCAUAAGCGCACAAUGUUGCAUGACAUGGUGUGAAAAACUCCGGUGGUAUAAGAUGGACCCGCGUCUGAUUAGCUAGUUGGUGAGAUAACAGCCCACCAAGGCGACGAUCAGUAGCCGACCUGAGAGGGUGACCGGCCACAUUGGGACUGAGACACGGCCCAGACUCCUACGGGAGUCAGCAGUGGGGAAUAUUGCACAAUGGAGGAAACUCUGAUGCAGCGACGCCGCGUGAGUGAAGAAGUAAUUCGUUAUGUAAAGCUCUAUCAGCAGGGAAGAUAGUGACGGUACCUGACUAAGAAGCUCCGGCUAAAUACGUG
rnacentral:rRNA from 1 species